ensembl:lncRNA
UUUUUUGAACAUGUGAGAAAAGCCCUCGGUAGGGUUGGAUUACUUACAGAGUAUAAACGAUGCUUGAAUGUUAAUGCAUAUUUCAAAAUGAAUGUUACAGGGAGGAUGAUAAGUUUGCUAAGUGCAGCAGCGCUGCACCAAAGAUGAAUUCAGCCUGGGGUGUUUUCUGGCAAAUGUGUCACCAUCACUCCCUGCAUAUUGCUCUGAAAUACUCAAGCUUUUCUUGACACAUAAGCUGUAAGAAUCCCAGAAGAGGCAGAGACAACAAGGUAUGUCUAAGCAUUGGAAAAAUAAACUGAUCCCUCAAAAAAAAAAUCACCCCGAGGGUUAGCAAGCCACCAACAAAUACAACAGCAGGCUGGAGCUGCAGAGCAUCCCUGGAAGAGGAGAAGAUCAAGCCUGGAAGCUGCUGUCAGGAAACCAGCAGGACUGAAGUCUCCAAUGGCCUGGGACUAAUUCAGCCCCUGUCUGUAACAGACACCCUUCGUAAAUAUUGCUGGAAAAUGGUGGAAAUCAGCAGAGACACACUGAGCUCAGCAUCCUGGCUACAGCACAGCACCUACGAAUCUGUUCUCCAGGGAGAGACCCACUUGUCCGUGUACAGCUCCCUGCAGAUGAAGGCAAUGCUUGCCCAAGACAAAGCAGCCUUUUCCGCUCCCCAGUGUUUGAGACACUUGCAUCUAAAGGUCAGGCAGGUGAUGGAAGCUACAUGGCCUUGUGCCUAUGCUUGGUGGGAUGCUGAGGCACAUGACAAAGAAGCUGGGCAGCAAUUCAAUCAUCUCCCUUCUUGGUGGUGGAGGAGGAUGGAGGCAAUCGGUCAGAAGCAAGGACAGGAUGGCACAGCUGCACACCUGUGUGUCUGCAUUCGACAUCUGCACGGAGCCCUCGGGAGCCAACCUGCAGACCUGGCAGCAGCAGGCACGACUGCAGCCAUGCACAGCACAUAUGGCUUAAAUCACCAGCUAACCUAGAUAAUUGUACAAAGAAGUGACAGAUGUCUGCUGAGGCAGGAAUUGGAGGGAGUAUGUGAAUAUGAAGAGGAAAAAGGAGAAAGAAACAACCCGGAAAAUGAGCUGAAAGACUUCCCCAAAUAAAUAUGAACGCACUAAAAUCUUUGCUCCAGAUGAAAUGUUGAACACAAGCUUACAGAAGAUUUAAGAACACUUUUCAAGUGCUAUUGCAUUAUACAAUAUUUUUCUCCCAUCCUGGAUCUUGGAAAAGGAAAGCUUUCAAACGGUAUUUCAUUUUCUCCCAAAAUGAAAAAGGUACAUAAUAAAAGCUUCACAAGAUCACCUACUCUUAUAACAUAUUUGUUUCCUCACAGGCCGUAUUUUCACCAGCGUUCCAGUGCUGAGUGUUCACCCAACCCUUGGCUUUCGUUGCCAGCAGCAAAAUACAGCAAAGCAGACGUUAUGUUUGGUGUUCAGUGCACUCUUAGCCUUCUAACACGCUUCUUUAGCAAAGCUGCAGGCAACCAAGUUUAAAAUACCGCUAUGGCAGCAGUGAGUGAUACCAAAGUGACUGACUGACCAAGCUGCUAAAACUGGGCACGUUCUACUGCUGCUUAACCACAAAAACUCAGAUAGCUACAUAUGUAUGCUUGUUUGUUUGUUUGUUUUUUUCCCAUUUCUUUCCUGAUUUUAAGGGUGUUUAUUGCAAAACACUGCAGGGAACACAUUUUCCAAGCACACGCCUUACCCCUACGUUCAGUUUUCUGAAAGCCCACCAUCUGAUAAUCCUACUGCCAGUACAUUACAUACCUCUAAGCCAGACUUAAAGCUCUAGUGAUGACACAGUCACUGGUAUAGAUAAUUUGGGUCCUAAAUGUUUUCUUUGUGCAUUGAAACAAUAUCUUUGAGCAGCUUCUUAAAUGUCAUUUCUUGCACUACACAAAGCGGGCAAUAAACAAUAAAAUUAUUCACCUUGAAGAAACCAUCUGCUGUCAUUAAGGACAUCACCACUUUCUUCUUGCUUUGAAUGGUCCUCUGAGAUGCUCUAAGUGUCAUUAAAAUGCUAUGUUUGCCGUUGUCUGUGUGCCAGGCUCAUUUUGCUUUAGAAACAAAGAUGAUGAUGGGUAAAAUAAGCAGAAAUUUCAUUCUCUAUUAGUUUGUAUAUUUCAUCUACUUUGUGAAUGUCUUUUAAAACGCUUGGUAUUUGGACAUAUUACUGGGGAGCUGCAUCAGAAGCACUAAGCUCUUGGAUGUGCGGAGCUCUGAGUGCACUGCUCUGACCCAGCACCAUGCUCUGCUGGGCCUCAAUGCUCGCUCUCUGCUGGCUCAGUGCCUCCCCCCACACACCAUUUCUCAGCACCAAGCUGACUUCUGCGACGUGCUGUGCAGAGCAGCUUGUGAUGCUGAACUGCAGCAAAGCAUGGUUAAAGUUAAACCAGGGCCAUCUGUCUCCAUUUUCCUCAUCUACUCAAUCAUAGAUGGAGAGGACAACAUCAUUUGGAAUGAAGGUUUAGCUCCCUUCCUCCUCCACACCCUCCCAUGCCUGCAAUAUACCUGCUCACUGCUUUUCUUGGAUUUGUUCCUUAUAACGAGGGCAUGCCUGAGAUGGCAGCGUGUCCCUGUGCACUGGGAGAUCCAUCACAGCCUAAAGAGGAUUUGUUGCCUGUUCCCUGGGUCAUCAGUGCAGCCCGAGUGUUGCAAUGGUCAGCCAAAGGCAUGCAGAGCUGGUCCAGCUCCCUGCCACUCAUCUCCCAGUCUUUCUUGCUUCUUUAGCUGGUUUAAAAUGGAAAGCUCAGCAGCUCCCUCCUAAAACUCCAUCCCUGCUUCAUAAAAAGACUUGAGGCUCAAGACAGAAAAACGGUUCAGGAAAAUCCAUCUCAAAACUGGCCUUUGCUGUUUAGGACAACAGUUCACAGGAGGUUAAGUCGUGCAUCUGCCCUAAAGACACAGCAGCAGCAGAAUGCCUCCUGGAGGGUGGAGGUACUGAGGUCCUGGGGGGGAGGAUCCGAAUAAAGAUCAGUCUGAAAAAGGUCAGGUAAAAUGUUGUUUUCUCAAAAGAACAAAAGGUUGAUAGCUGUAUUCAGAAUAGGCUGGGAAAAGAAAUGGGUUUUAAAAAUAAAGCUUUUCUUGUUUUAAAUGCUACAUAGUCGGGGACAUGUUAUUUUCCUCCUAAUGAAAGCCUGGAACAGCAGAUCGUUGAGACAAUAGGCUGUGCCAUGCAGGAUUCAACUUUAGUUGCAAGGUUGGAAGGUUUAUUCCUGGAGGCUAAAUUUAUGAUAAAAAACUUCCCCAAACGCAGCCAAUAUAAUGAAAGACAAUCAAACACUAAGAAAAAGCAAUCAGAUUGAAGACAACCCACUAUUAUUAAUAUAGCUGAAACCAAAAGCUGAGGUCUGUCAGCCUUAAAAAAUAGAAUUAUUUUUUUCUUAGCUCCACUGUCUUUAAUUGUUUCUUCCUCCAAUCAAAGCGUUACAAAAAUAUAAAGAAAACCUUCAAGUCAAACCGAAGCUUCUCUUAAAAUGAAAUGCAAUAAAAGCUCAAUAAAAGUAGCUUGGGAUUCUAGUGACAUCAGUUUUGCUGUUGUGGUUUCUGAUGUCACAGCAUCCUUUGAUGGGAUUAUUUCUGCAUGUUUCAUGACCCAUUCAUUAUCGUACCCAUAUUGUAGACUUCGUAUUACAGUCAACAAUAAAAAAUACCCUUGGCAACCUCCAUUACAUUCUGCAGUUAAUUUGUGUUCUCGCAAAGUGCUUAUAUUUACUAUGAGUGAUAAUCAUACAUAUGCAUGAGACCUUAAGUGAAGGAGAAUGUGCUUAGGAGCUAGCACAGAGGGAGUUUUGCCUCGAAGAGAUGUCAAAAUCAGUUCACUUUUGUUACAUAUGAGUAAUUUAAUUUCUUCUACAGUGUUAUUAGGGCAAGAAUGAAGUAACAUUCUUUGGCAUAAUUGAAGCAAAUCCCAGCAAGACAAGAGGAUAACAAAACCUUCCCAUCUUGUCAUGUCAAAUCCUUACCUACUCUGUAGGGCACACAGACACAUAUUCUUGGUGUCGAAUUAAAUUAUCCCUUUGAGUUUAUUAACUUGUUAUGUUCCACCACCUUCGGUAUAUUUACCAUUGGAUCUUUAAAUUUCCUUCUUUCUUUAGUUUACUCCCUCACAACUGACCUCAUUUUUGCAUCAGAUCAGAAAUACUAGUGGCAUUCAAUACUUUUUCAAUGGCUUCUCUCCUUCAACAUCAUCUCCAUUUCCAAUCCUCCAAUAUGAAACUAACAGCCAAGGAAUCUGUCUGCAGAAAGAGAUGUGGGAGGCUCGAUCUCUCCUUUUUGCCCUACAGCUCCUUCUGUAGUAGAAGAGGCUGCUCAGAGCCCGUGGGCUGCAGCCAUGUCAGCUCCAUGGGACAUGAGUGCAGCAUCCAGGGAGCCUGGAGCAGGCUGCAACAGAACCCUGCUGCUGCUGCUGCCUCUCUGGGUGGGCUGUUUCAUUGAUUUAAAGCUGCCAUGUCCCCUGGAGCAGAAAUCAGAGCAUUUUGAACGUGACAUGCAAGUCAUAGGAAAACUAGUAAUUUGUAGGUUAGACGAGCCAUAGCAGCUAAAUCAUGCGGUACUUUGUUGUUUCUGACUUUGCAGUAUUUCUGAUGAAACCCAGAACAAAACUUUUGUGGAGUAAGUAGCUUUUUUCAUUUUGUAAAUGAGCAUCUUUCUCAGCUUCACAAUGCAAGUACCAACAGAUGGCUGUCAGGCAGGGUUUCUCAGUGGUUAAGCCCUUGUAACCUUGCAGGCCUGUGGUCACUUGGAUGCACUUGUGAUUAUUUAAAGCUUUGAAUUUAUCAUAUUUGGCUUUAAUGGGAACUGGAGUUGACCAAUGAAACAAUUUGUAUCUGAGCCCAAGAAAGGCAAAUUUGAUGUAUGACAGUGAUCCAUUUCAGGUACAAGAGGUGGACAAGUGCUCACCUGUAUCCCUCCUGCUUGCUCUCUGUCUAGUACAUCUAGAAAGUACAUCUAGUACAAUCUGAAAAAAGAACAGUCUGAUAUUUACUUGAUACUUACCAAACUUGAAGCACACACUGCUUGGAAUGCUCCAGCAUGGCAAAGGCAUAUUUAAAUGCUCAAACUGCUGCUAUUCUUGCUCGAGAUCUUGAGAUUCAGCUGUGCUCUUCUGUUACUGCCAUCCCUCCUACCUCAUCUGUAAAACAGGAACAAAUACUAUUUAUGCUCCUGUGUAAAGCUCCUGAGAGCAUCACAGAAG